AAUUUUGAAGGGCCGCAGUAUUCUGACUGUGCAAAGGUAGCAUAAUCAUUUGCCUUUUAAUUAGAGGCUAGUAUGAAUGGUUGAACGAAAUACAAACUGUCUCAUUUUUAUAAUUUUAAAAAUUUAGCUUUCUAGUUAAAAGGCUUGAAUAAUAUUAGAGGACGAGAAGACCCUAUAGAACUUUAUAUAAUUUUAUUUAAGUAUUUAUAGUAAAAUAAUUUUAUUUAUUUACCAUUAUAUUUUGUUGGGGUGACAGGAAAAUUUAUUUAACUUUUUUAAUUUAGAACCAUUGAUUUAUGAAUAUUUGAUCCAUUAUUAUUGAUUAUUAGAAUAAGUUACCUUAGGGAUAACAGCGUAAUUUUGUUGGAGAGUUCAAAUCUAUAACAAAGUUUGCGACCUCGAUGUUGAAUUAAAGAAAUUUUAGAGUGCAGAAGCUUUAAGUAAUAGGUCUGUUCGACCUUUAAAUCUUUACAUGAUCUGAGU
rnacentral:rRNA from 1 species